GCCAGGUAUGGUGGCGUGUGCCUGUAGUCCUAGCUACUUAGGAGGCUGAGGCUGGAGGAUCUUUUGAGCCCAGGAGACUGAGACUGCAGUGAGCCGUGAUCAGGCCACUGCACUCUAGCCUGGGCAACAGAUCAAGACUCUU
rnacentral:SRP_RNA from 1 species